rnacentral:rRNA from 1 species
UACGUAGGGUGCAAGCGUUGUCCGGAAUUAUUGGGCGUAAAGAGCUCGUAGGCGGUCUGUCACGUCGGCUGUGAAAUCCCGAGGCUCAACCUCGGGUCUGCAGUCGAUACGGGCAAACUAGAGUAUUGCAGGGGAGACUGGAAUUCCUGGUGUAGCGGUGAAAUGCGCAGAUAUCAGGAGGAACACCGAUGGCGAAGGCAGGUCUCUGGGCCGAUACUGACGCUGAGGAGCGAAAGCGUGGGGAGCGAACAGG